ACAUAGGAGACAGUAGUUUAAACAGGGUGCAAACCCAGAGAAAGCUGUUCUUAGUACCUGAAAAGCUGCAGUGUUUAUAAUCAAGAUGUUGCUGAUACCCUGUUUUUGAUCAGUAAGGAAGAUGUUCAAGCACCCAUAGUAUUUUUGUAAUGUUUUCUAUGGAAAAAUAACCUGUAUGUUAUACUGCAUCUUCCCCCCGACCCCCAACCUUUUGCAGACCUUACUGGGGAGACAGCCACUGGCUUGAGCCAUCUGCAGAGGCCCGGCAGUUGAACACUGGUUUUCCUGCCUGGCCAGCAGGCCACCACCACGGGCUCGGGACUGAGGAGGCAGCAUAAAAAGCGGCACAAGCUGUGGUUAGAAGCCUUGGUUCCACUGUUCACACAACCUGGCAUUUCUCUGGUACCAGCUGAUCGAGGUAACAUGCACUCAGGAGUGUUAAGAAAGCCCAGAGGCCUCACAGACAGAACUACCAGAACAGAAAAAAGUGCCAGACUGGAUAACUGGUGUUCUGCCAUCUUUAUGCUACCGCCUCGUCAAAGGUGUGGAACAGUGAAACGUGCAAGAUCUGCCUAUCACUGUGUUUCACUGACACCAACCUUCCUUGGGAAUGGUUCUGUGAGGGCAUGUGUUCACUAAAAACUGUACCAUAUUUUUUACUAAAGCAACCAUAAACAAGACCCUUAAACUCCACUCAGGCACAUCUCAACUAUUUUUCUCCUCCAAAGUGUAAGAGGGAUUUUUUUCUAAUCGAAUGCAUUUCAGAAUGAAUCCCUCAGCAAUACAGUUCUCAGCACUAUGCUAAUCAGUACUUCAUAAAAUUGCCUGUG